rnacentral:rRNA from 1 species
AGAGUUUGAUCCUGGCUCAGGACGAACGCUGGCGGCGUGCUUAACACAUGCAAGUCGAACGGAAAGGCCCUUCGGGGUACUCGAGUGGCGAACAGGUGAGUAACACGUGGGUGAUCUGCCCUGCACUCUGGGAUAAGCCUGGGAAACUGGGUCUAAUACCGGAUAGGACCGCAUGCAUCAUGGUGUGUGGUGCAAAGCUUUUGCGGUGUGGGAUGAGCCCGCGGCCUAUCAGCUUGUUGGUGGGGUAAUGGCCUACCAAGGCGACGACGGGUAGCCGGCCUGAGAGGGUGACCGGCCACACUGGGACUGAGAUACGGCCCAGACUCCUACGGGAGGCAGCAGUGGGGAAUAUUGCACAAUGGGCGCAAGCCUGAUGCAGCGACGCCGCGUGAGGGAUGACGGCCUUCGGGUUGUAAACCUCUUUCAGUAGGGACGAAGCGAAAGUGACGGUACCUACAGAAGAAGGACCGGCCAACUACGUGCCAGCAGCCGCGGUAAUACGUAGGGUCCGAGCGUUGUCCGGAAUUACUGGGCGUAAAGAGCUCGUAGGUGGUUUGUCGCGUUGUUCGUGAAAACUCACAGCUUAACUGUGGGCGUGCGGGCGAUACGGGCAGACUAGAGUACUGCAGGGGAGACUGGAAUUCCUGGUGUAGCGGUGGAAUGCGCAGAUAUCAGGAGGAACACCGGUGGCGAAGGCGGGUCUCUGGGCAGUAACUGACGCUGAGGAGCGAAAGCGUGGGUAGCGAACAGGAUUAGAUACCCUGGUAGUCCAA